rnacentral:rRNA from 1 species
AGCAGUAGCCGCGGGAAUACGGAGGGUGCAAGCGUUAUCCGGAUUUAUUGGGUUUAAAGGGUCCGUAGGCGGAUCUGUAAGUCAGUGGUGAAAUCUCACAGCUUAACUGUGAAACUGCCAUUGAUACUGCAGGUCUUGAGUAAAUUUGAAGUGGCUGGAAUAAGUAGUGUAGCGGUGAAAUGCAUAGAUAUUACUUAGAACACCAAUUGCGAAGGCAGGUCACUAAGAUUUAACUGACGCUGAUGGACGAAAGCGUGGGGAGCGAACAGGAUUAGAUACCCCCGUAUCCCUGUCUCUUAUACA